rnacentral:rRNA from 1 species
UACAGAGGGUGCAAGCGUUUAAUCGGAAUUACUGGGCGUAAAGCGCGCGUAGGUGGUUUGUUAAGUUGGAUGUGAAAGCCCCGGGCUCAACCUGGGAACUGCAUUCAAAACUGACAAGCUAGAGUAUGGUAGAGGGGUGGUGGAAUUUCCUGUGUAGCGGUGAAAUGCGUAGAUAUAGGAAGGAACACCAGUGGCGAAGGCGACCACCUGGACUGAUACUGACACUGAGGUGCGAAAGCGUGGGGAGCAAACAGG